UACGGAGGGAGCUAGCGUUGUUCGGAAUUACUGGGCGUAAAGCGCGCGUAGGCGGCUUUGCAAGUCGGGUGUGAAAGCCCUCAGCUCAACUGAGGAAGUGCGCCCGAAACUGCAGAGCUUGAGUGCCGGAGAGGGUGGCGGGAAUUCCCCAAGUAGAGGUGAAAUUCGUAGAUAUGGGGAGGAACACCGGGUGGCGAAGGCGGGCCACCCUGG
rnacentral:rRNA from 1 species